rnacentral:rRNA from 1 species
GCGACGGGUGAGUACACGUGGGCAAUCUGCCCUUCACUCUGGGACAAGCCCUGGAAACGGGGUCUAAUACCGGAUAAUACCUUCUCGGGCAUCUGAGGGGGUUGAAAGCUCCGGCGGUGAAGGAUGAGCCCGCGGCCUAUCAGCUUGUUGGUGGGGUGAUGGCCUACCAAGGCGACGACGGGUAGCCGGCCUGAGAGGGCGACCGGCCACACUGGGACUGAGACACGGCCCAGACUCCUACGGGAGGCAGCAGUGGGGAAUAUUGCACAAUGGGCGAAAGCCUGAUGCAGCGACGCCGCGUGAGGGAUGACGGCCUUCGGGUUGUAAACCUCUUUCAGCAGGGAAGAAGCGCAAGUGACGGUACCUGCAGAAGAAGCACCGGCUAACUACGUGCCAGCAGCCGGAGGUAAUACG